rnacentral:pre_miRNA from 1 species
UGUGCAUCGGUGGGGUCCCUUGGCCUGGCUUGUGCCCUCUCACAAUCUGGAACCCCUUAGGGGAUGUUAGAGAGCCAGUUUUUGGCCCAAUCCCGCAGGCCAGGCCAAGGGACCCCACUGGUGCACA